CACGUAGGCGGAUCAGAAAGUCAGAGGUGAAAUCCCAGGGCUCAACCUUGGAACUGCAUUUGAUACGUGUAGACUAGAGUGUGAGAGAGGGUUGUGGAAUUCCCAGUGUAGAGGUGAAAUUCGUAGAUAUUGGGAAGAACACCGGUGGCGAAGGCGGCAACCUGGCUCAUUACUGACGCUGAGGCGCGAAAGCGUGGGGAGCAAACAGGAUUAGAUACCCGCGUA
rnacentral:rRNA from 1 species